rnacentral:rRNA from 1 species
CCUACGGGUGGCAGCAGUGAGGAAUAUUGGUCAAUGGGCGCGAGCCUGAACCAGCCAAGUCGCGUGAGGGAAGACGGCCCUACGGGUUGUAAACCUCUUUUGCCGGGGAGCAACGGGCGCCACGUGUGGCGCCACUGAGAGUACCCGGAGAAAAAGCAUCGGCUAACUCCGUGCCAGCAGCCGCGGUAAGACGGAGGAUGCGAGCGUUAUACGGAUUUAUUGGGUUUAAAGGGUGCGUAGGCGGGGCGUUAAGUCAGUGGUAAAAUUGAGGGGCUCAACCCCUUCCCGCCAUUGAAACUGGCGCUCUUGAGUGGAAGAGAGGUAGGCGGAAUGCGUGGUGUAGCGGUGAAAUGCAUAGAUAUCACGCAGAACCCCGAUGGCGAAGGCAGCAUGCCGGCUUCCGACUGACGCUGAAGCACGAAAGCGUGGGGAUCGAACAGGAUUAGAUACCCGGGUAGUC